UAAGGAUUUAAGUUAAAAAAACUAUUAACCUUCAAAGUUGAAAAUAGAAUAUAUUCUAAGCCUUAG
rnacentral:tRNA from 1 species